rnacentral:lncRNA from 10 species
GAUGGGUAAAAAGAUAAAGAAGGAAGUAGAGCCUCCUCCUAAGGAUGUGUUUGACCCAUUAAUGAUUGAAAGCAAAAAAGCAGCAACUGUGGUGUUAAUGCUUAAUUCUCCAGAAGAGGAAAUUUUGGCUAAAGCAUGUGAAGCCAUUUAUAAAUUUGCUUUAAAAGGUUUGGAUUUUUUUCAGUUUAUCUUUCUGUUUCAUUAAUUUCUUAAAAUAUUUACUACCUCUUGGGCACUUUUCUUCCUAGUCUUUAACUUACUUGCUGUCGGAUGAAUUAUUUCAGACAACCAGGAUAUUAUUUAAUGCAUUACCUAAGAGCAAUCUCUCUUCCUGAGUUCCUAGCUUAAUCUUAAGGAGUAAUUUAGUCACUGGGUAGAACAGUCAUUCUGAAAGUUUCAUUGUAGUUUUAGAAAUUGUAAAUGUCACAGAAGCUAAAAGAACUCCCAAUAGUCAAGGCUGGAACAAUUAGAACAACAAAGUAAAGCAGUAUUGGCUUAUCAUCCAAGUGGAAAAUAAGUAUCCAUGAGUCCAUACUGAUAUAAAUAAAAUGGGUGAAUAAAUGGAAGAGAAGAGACAAAUCUCCUAUGC